CACGUAGGGCGCAAGCGUUGUCCGGAAUUAUUGGGCGUAAAGAGCUCGUAGGCGGUCUGUUGCGUCCGCUGUGAAAACUCGGGGCUUAACCCCGAGCCUGCAGUGGAUACGGGCAGACUAGAGGUAGGUAGGGGAGAAUGGAAUUCCCGGUGUAGCGGUGAAAUGCGUAGAGAUGCGGCGGAACACCGAUGGCGAAGGCAGCCCCCUGGGCUUAAAUUGACGCUGAGGCACGAAAGCGUGGGGAGCAAACAGG
rnacentral:rRNA from 1 species